CCCUUAGAUGUUCUGGGCCGCACGCGUGCUACACUGAGUGGAUCAGCGGGUCAGGUUGCGCGAAAGUGUUUCCUAAUCUUGAAAUCCGCUCGUGAUGGGGAUUGACGGUUGCAAUUUUCCGUCAUGAACGAGGAAUACCUUGUAAGCGCGGGUCAUCAUCCCGCGCUGAAUACGUCCCUGCCCUUUGUACACACCGCCCGUCGCUCCUACCGAUUGAGUGGUCCGGUGAGGCUUUGGGAUCUGAGCAAAGAGAGCGUUUCGCUCGUUUUGCCCGGAAAACUCAGUCGAACCUUAUCAUUUAGAGGAAGGUGAAGUCGUAACA
rnacentral:rRNA from 1 species